CAUUAUUGAAUAACCUGGUACUGAUGCUGGUCCUCCGGGGCAUGUGCUCGUAUCAUCUUAUUUAUCUAUCUCUUGUGCACCUCUUGUAGUCUUUGAAGUGAGGUUUCGCAGUCAAAUGCGGUCUGGGGUCUGGGCUUUUAAAAGUCCUUUCCCUGCUUGCUUCAAAGGCUAUGUUUUCAUACACACUAUUGAAGUUAUAGAAUGUCUCUUUAUUGACUCUUGUGGUCAGUAAAACCUAUACAACUUUCAGCAACGGAUCUCUUGGCUCUCCCAUCGAUGAAGAACGCAGCGAAAUGCGAUAAGUAAUGUGAAUUGCAGAAUUCAGUGAAUCAUCGAAUCUUUGAACGCACCUUGCGCCCUUUGGUAUUCCGAAGGGCAUGCCUGUUUGAGUGUCAUUAAAUUCUCAACCUUACUUGCUUUUGCUGGUGAGGCUUGGACGUGAGGGCUUUGCUGGCUUCCUUCAGUGGAUGGUCUGCUCCCUUCAAAUGUAUUAGUGGGAUCCUUUGUGGACGGUCACUUGGUGUGAUAAUUAUCUACGCCGCUUGGCUGUGAAGCAAGACUUGUGGGAACCUGCUCAUAACCGUCGAAAGACAACCAUUGACAAUUUGACCUCAAAUCAGGUAGGACUACCCGCUGAACUUAAGCAUAUCAAUAAGCGGAGGAAAAGAAACUAACAAGGAUUCCCCUAGU
rnacentral:rRNA from 1 species